rnacentral:piRNA from 1 species
UUUUUUUUCCGUGAACAUCUA